GCGGGAUUAGUUUAGUGGCAAAACAUCAGUUUUCCAAACUGAGGUCGCCGGUCCGAUUCCGGCAUCCCGCA
rnacentral:tRNA from 1 species